GACACCAUUGCAUUCCAUCUAAACAAUGUGAAAGACAUCUGCAGUCUGUUUAUUUCUGCAUAUUGUCUUAUACAAGUACAUAAUGGCACUUAAAAACCAAAAAUAUUUUCUAAACAUGGUUAAAAUGGUCAGCCCCCAGCAUAUUUCCGUGUAAUAGCCGUAGAAAAUGCGUCAACGUUCAUCUUAAUAACGUGAAAAUAGUUGAAACGUGCAAGAUAAAUGGGCGUUAACAAAAAGACGUUUACAAUGUUCUGAAUAUCUUUAAAUUGUCAAAUUCGCGGACAGACAUAUACAAGACGACAUAGUCUUCCAUCUAAACAACCUAAAAAAUUUAACUGAAGGGUCAAAGGGGACAAGCCGUUGACAGAAAGACAUCUAUGCUAAAUCUGGUUAAAAUGGUUACCCAUUUUGGACGACCCAAUUUUUUUGUGAAAUAGACAAAGAAAUUAUCUAAAAACAUGACAAUGUGUCAGAAAAAUAAAAGAUGGAAAGGCCUCUAUGUUUAAAUGUGCUUGAUAGGUGAUUGGAGAUGAUCAGAUGGGCUAACCUAGUCCCACUUUUAAUAUAUUUAUCUAUGGUAGAUUUAGACCGGACCUAUUGGCUAAAAAAGUUCGAUUUACUACGUAUUUACUUGGCUAAAUAAAAACAAGAACAGACAAGCCUUAAAUAGACCUUUAAAAGACGUCUAUGCUCUCUGGAGCCAUGUAACAGUAGCAUUAAGGCACAUUUUCGUUCAUUCCAUUAAAACGUGGAGCUCAUAAACAUGUGAUGCAACAGAAUCUAUUUCGAUGACUCAAAGCAGCCACACUUACUGCAUUUCUUUCAAAGGUGCUUUUGGAAAUAGUCUUUAUUUCAUGUCAUAAGCGAAGCCACAAGGCUAUACAAAGCAAGGAUUUAUUGGAGGGACAUUGCCACGCUGCUGGGGGGAGGGAAUGAACUUCCCACUGUAUUUCUAUUAUCCUUCCUACCUGAAAUGGUCAUGGAGCAAACAUAAACACGGUUACAAUCGACUUCUAACAACGAAAUCUAUUUGCCAGCGUUAUUAUGCUGAUGGGAAUGCUAUUGAGCUGCUGUCUCCCCCGUUCGUGUUUGGUUUCAUAUUCUUCUAGAAGAAUCUGUAAAAGCCACAUUCAGCAAAUGCUCCCCUUUUUAUUCGUCUGGUAGUACAUGGAGGAUUUUCGUUUACAAAAAAUAUAAAUGUAUGUGGCUUAUUGAGUAAGAAGAGGGGAAGAAGAGAAGAAGUGGAAGGCCACUCUCUCAGUUUGUUGCUUAUACACCAAACAAAGAGUCCUGGAAGCCUGUGCGCGAUCAAUCUUACUCGCCAAAAGGUCUGACAGCUCGGUGCCCUCACAACACAUUUAAGGCUUCUAACUCUCCCCCGGAUCAAAUGCAGCCAGGAAGCGCCGAGAAACAGUGGUCACUCAGAUUAGAACCAGUUUCUGCUCGCACUGGUAGUCUGUUUGUCGCUGGAGGGAUUUGUUUUAAGAACAAGGGGAAAAAAAGGAAUCUGGUCACACAAGAUGCGACCAUUCCCUCCCUGAGAACCAAUGAACCCUCCACGAAGACCCGGGUGACAUUUUUAUUAUUAUGGAUGUGCCCACGCAGAUGAGAGAGAAGCGCUGGGAAAGAGAAGGGGGCCCACCCCUUGAGGAGGAGAGAGUAAAUAGAUCAAGUGUUUGAUUUUUUUUUUUUUUUUUUUUUGUAGCUGCGAGUUGUUCUUGUUUAUUGAAUUGAAAUUUGAUUUGGAGCAACGAUCUCGCGUUAUUUUGGUAAUUUCCACUGUUCUCUAUUAAACUAAUUUUUAAUUUGUUUUACUAUUUGAUUAAAUUUAGUCCUUAACUUUAUUUUAUUUUCAGAAGGGGUUUAAGAUGCUAUUUCACUUUUAUAUUUCAUACCAAAGCUGAUAACCCCUUAUUAUUAUUAUUUAUUUUUUGUUUAAAUUACAAAUAGGGUUAUUUGAUAUUGUAAAUGUAUAACUGCUUGCGAAUUUCAAAAUUAAAACUGAUGGAUCUGCUUUUCACUUCAAUUCUUUUAUUUAUUUCAUCGAACUGGAGCAGCAUGGAAUGUUUGACAUUGGGAAGAAGAAAAAAAAUGAUGAUGAGUUUUGUCUUUUAUUCAAUAAAGAAACUGCAAACGUG